ensembl:lncRNA
UAGUCCAGAUGACUCCGAAGUCACUGAGGGCCUUAUUCAGGGUAGCUGACUUCAGUUUAAAUGGGAAGGGGAAUGCUCCUUGUGAUCAGAGGCAGGUUAUUUGAAUUGACUUCCUGGUCAUCCUUUUCAGGUUUUGAAAACCAGUUGAAAAUCUGGUUGGCAGGAAGUUAAGAACACUCCAGAUUUUCCCAAUGGGUAUCAUGGUGGCAACACUUCGAGAAGGUCAGCCCAGACUUCACUAUCUCAGGCCACAGUUUCCAGCUCCUCCUGGAGGAUCUCCAUUAGAUAGUUAGAUCCCCACUAAGUUAGAUGUACCUGAUACAACGCGCCCAAAUAUACAGUCAGGUCCAUAAAUAUUUGGACAGCGACACAAUUUGGGUGAUUUUGCUUCUGUACACCUCCACAAUGGAUGAAGCAAUCGAGUUUAGCUUUAAUUCAAGGGGUUUAACAAAAACAUUGCAUUAACCCAUUAAUUACAGCCGUCUUUUACAUAGACCCUCCAUUUCCACAGGUCAAAAGUAAUUCGACAAACUGAUAUAAUCAUAAAUAUUAGGAUUGAUAUUUACUUGGAUACAAACCCUUUGCCAUCAACCCAUGGACAUCAGUAAAUGCUGAGUUUUCUCCCUUGAGAUGCGUUGCCAGGUCUUUACCCUAUCCGCCUUGAGUAGCUGCUUGUUUGUGGGUCUUUCUGCCUUCAGUUUUGUCUUCAGUAAGUGGAAAGCAUGCUCAUUUGUGUCGAGGUCAUCGGACAUUUGAGAACAUUUAACUUCUUCUCAUCUUGAAUGUUUCAUUUCAGACCCAUCGGGGUGGUGUAACGUACAGAGGUAAAGUUACGGAAAUUGUGUGACUGUCCAAAUAAUUAUGAACCCGACUGUGCGUCUAAUCCGGCAGAGGAAUGGCCGCAGAACGAAAAUAAAAACCAGGAUUUUGCGAUGACCAGUUACUGCUGAAAACCCGAGCACUUGUGAAAAAUGUGACAAUACAGAGGUGCUCAGACUCUCGUUGAGAAGAGAAGAGAAGAGAAGAGAGACUUCAGCAAAAUAUUGUUUACUUAUAAAACUCCAGUCCUCAACCCCCAGAUUGGAAAUGUCACGUGUAGGCAUUGUAUUAUUUUUUUUUUUUCAGACAUGACGUAUGGAACUGUCUCCUGCGAUGUCAGUUUCACUUGAAUCCAUGUUGUGGAAUGCUUUCCUCCUGAUGUUUUAAAUUAAAUCUUUCUAGCUCAAUAUGCUUUUGAUGAAAGAAAUCGGCCUGUUGGUCCAAGGACCUUUUAUAUAACCGGUUUCUAAUGAUCUGAUCGAAUAACCCCGUUAAAAGCCAAGGAACCAUUUGAAGAGCCGUUAAGGAAGCCUUUAUGGUGAGUGUGGGAGACAAUUUUGAUCAGCACUCGUAUCUCAGAUCGAUGCUUUUUCAUCAGAUCUAGGAAAGUUGAUCAAAGGGAAGAAACCCAUCUCCAACUGUCUCCACUUUAAACCCAUAAAUUACAUUUCUAGCCUGUGGUUUCUCUCGACAUCUGGACCCGCUGCGGUGUUUACUGUGGCAACUGUUGGCUCUUGUUUUAGAGAAACAUUCAUGACACGAGUUCUGAGCCAUCGCUAUGGACCCAUGACGUGCGUUGGCAGAGGGGAAACCAGGCUCUCCACUUGCUGCCAAAAACCUGUUCCUGGAACUGAGGUCUUAAGCAAAAAGAGCAAGAAGAUGCUGAGCAAAAACGUGCAGCGUGCAGUCUUGGUUUUCGAGCAUGUUAGGAACACCAGUAAGCAUGUCAGUACCCGAAGCUCUUGUCUCUGCAGUACUAGAAGCUCUUGUCCUUGUUUCUGUGUCAUAUUGGCCAUAACAACAGAAACGUAGGAAUAUUUGAGAAAAUAAAAUCGGAAAACGUCAAGUGCAUCCAAAAACCACCCACUGUCACUGUAUUUCCAUUCUUGGAAUUCAGAAGUGAUCCCUCGGUUUCCUUCUUUUCCCUUCUACAGUCUCUUGCAGGUUAUCCACUGUCUGGAAAGAAGCUGAAAUCAGGAAGGCUUUAAGUUCAUGGUCCAGUCCUGGAUCUGAUCUUCACAUACUACCGAGACCGGCUCUGCCGAGCGUACUACCUGGAUCGGUUCUGAUCAGCGUUAUGAUAGUUUUAAUACUCACUAAACACACUGCUGUGUGGCUAUGGGUCAUAAUAGCAUUGUAGAUAAACAUGUCACAGACUUCUGUCUGUUAUUUGUCUGGCUUGUUUGUCUGAUAAGUAGCUUAGUUUUGAGUAAUUUGCUUCAUAUAAAUACUUAACAAGUCGCUUUAAUUUUUUAUUUAUUUAUUUAUUUAUUUUUUUUAGAUAUGUUGGUUUGGAGAAGUUGCUUUAGCGUUUACUGUUAUGUAGAUAAAUAUAAUUAUUCUAUAAUUGAAUAUGUUUCUAUUAUAUUCUAUAAUGAAAAGAAGAUAUAAUCCUCUUUCUGGUAAGUUGCUUGUGACUCAAUAAAAAAAAAUUAUUAGUCUGUUUUUUUUUUAUACAAUGCUUAGGAAAUUUUGUUUUUCUUUUAAUGAACUGCAUGGAACAUUUUGCUUUCUGGAUAAGUUUCUAGGUUUAAUAAGUUUGUUUUGUAAAUUUUUUUGGCAUAGGUUUUUUUUUUUUUUUUCAUAAGUCGCCUGAGAGAGUUUUUUUUUUUCUUGCGAAGGAGCUUUUUCUGAUUCAUUGGUUAAGUUGUUGUUGUUUUUAAGAAGUUGGAUAAGAUGCUAUGCUUUAUUAUAAGCUGCUCUGGAAUUUUUGUAGUUUUUUUUCCUUAGGUAAAAGUUUUUUUCCCUUUCAUACAGUAUAUGGCUUUUUGGAUAUGUUGGUUUUCCUUAAUAAGUCACUUGGGAUAAGUCGUUUGCCUUUUAUAAGUUGUUGGGGAUAAGUUGCUUGUCUUUUAUAAGUUGUUGGGGAUAAGUUGCUUGUCUUUUAUAAGUUGUUGGGGAUAAGUCGUUUGCAUUUUAUAAGUUCUCAGGAUAAGUCGUUUGCCUUUUAUAAGUUUCUCGGAUAAGUCGUUUGCCUUUUAUAAGUUGUUGGGGAUAAGUUGCUUGUCUUUUAUAAGUUGUUGGGGAUAAGUUGCUUGUCUUUUAUAAGUUGUUGGGGAUAAGUUGCUUGUCUUUUAUAAGUUGUUGGGGAUAAGUCUUUGCCUUUUAUAAGUUGUUGGGGAUAAGUCGCUUGUCUUUUAUAAGUUGUUGGGGAUAAGUCUUUUGCAUUUUAUAAGUUUCUCGGGAUAAGUUGCUUGUCUUUUAUAAGUUUUUGGGGAUAAGUCUUUUGCCUUUUAUAAGUUUUGGGGCGAUAAGUUGCUUGUCUUUUAUAAGUUGUUGGGGAUAAGU